GAAAUUAAACAAUUAAUAAAUUAAUUAAAAUUAAUAAAAAGAUUUUUAAAUAUAUGUAUAAUGGGGGUUAGAGUAUAUUUUAAGAAAAAAUUAUUAAUUUAAUAGUAAAUUAGUAUUGUAAAAGAAGUUUGAAAUAAUUUAAAAAUUUAUUUAUUUAAAAGUAAAUUUAGUUUAUUGUAUCUUGUGUAUCAGAGUUUAUUAAAUAAAAUUUAUAGAUGUAUAAAAAUCUCGAAUUUAAAAGAGUUAAAUAAUUAAUAAAGUUAUUGUGGCAAAAAUAUUUUUAAUAAUUAUUUUGAAAUGAAACGUUAUUCGUUUUUAAAUAUAUCUAGUUUUCUUAGAAAAAAAUUUAAUUUUAUAUUAAAAUAAAAAAUUAACUAAUUAAUUAGUUAAUUUUUUAUUUUAAUAAAAUAUUUUAAGGGAUAAGCUUUAAUUUAAAUAUUUAUAAAUAAUAAUAAUAAAAUAAAAAUUUUUAGUAUUUAUAUUGUAUAAAAAUUAUAAUUUUUUAUAAAUAAUUUUAUUAAAAUAAAAAUUUAAUUAAAAUUUAAUUUUAUAUAAGGAUUAUUUAUUUUAAUUAAAAAAAUAAAGAAAUAAUGAUAAAAUUAGUAUAUUUAAAUUAAGUUAAUUGUUAUUAAUUAACUAAUAAUUAAUUUUAAGGAAUUCGGCAAAAUUUUAUAUUCACUUGUUUAUCAAAAACAUGUCUUUUAGAAAAUAAUUUAAAGUCUAAUCUGCCCACUGAUUGAAAAAUUAAAGGGCUGCAGUAUUUUGACUGUACAAAGGUAGCAUAAUCAUUAGUCUCUUAAUUGGUGACUUGUAUGAAAGAUUGGAUGAAAUAUAAACUGUCUCUAAAUUAUUAAAUAUAAUUUAAUUUUUUAGUUAAAAAGCUAAAAUAAAUUUAAAAGACGAGAAGACCCUAUAGAGUUUUAUAAAUAAAUAAAUUUAAAUUAUAUAUUAAUUUAAUAAUUUUAAAUUUAUUUAUUUAUUUUGUUGGGGUGAUAAAAAAAUAAAUAAAACUUUUUUUUAAUUAAAACAUAAAUAAGUGGUUAAAUGAUCCUAAAAUUUAGAUUAAAAGAGUAAAUUACCUUAGGGAUAACAGCGUAAUUUUUUUUUUUAGUUCAAAUAAGAAAAAAAGUUUGCGACCUCGAUGUUGGAUUAAGAUAAAAAUUAAAUGCAAAAGUUUAAAUUUUUUGAUCUGUUCGAUCAUUAAAAUCUUACAUGAUCUGAGUUCAAACCGGUGUGAGCCAGGUUGGUUUCUAUCUUUAAAAAUAUAGAAUAUUUUAGUACGAAAGGAUCAAAUAUUUAAAUUAAAUUUAAUUAAAUGAAUAUUA
rnacentral:rRNA from 1 species